rnacentral:rRNA from 1 species
AAUGGGCGAAAGCCUGAUCCAGCAAUGCCGCGUGAGUGAUGAAGGCCUUAGGGUUGUAAAGCUCUUUUACCAGGGAUGAUAAUGACAGUACCUGGAGAAUAAGCUCCGGCUAACUCCGUGCCAGCAGCCGCGGUAAUACGGAGGGAGCUAGCGUUGUUCGGAAUUACUGGGCGUAAAGCGCGCGUAGGCGGUUUUUCAAGUCAGAGGUGAAAGCCCGGGGCUCAACCCCGGAACUGCCUUUGAAACUGGAUGACUAGAAUCUUGGAGAGGCGAGUGGAAUUCCGAGUGUAGAGGUGAAAUUCGUAGAUAUUCGGAAGAACACCAGUGGCGAAGGCGACUCGCUGGACAAGUAUUGACGCUGAGGUGCGAAAGUGUGGGGAGCAAACAGGAUU